AUUUUAAAAUGACCCAAAUGCCUGCAUGUAGUCAGAAGGAACACUACAAUAUAUACUAAAUUCCUAAUUACUUAACAAAUGAUGACUAAAUGUUUGAAAUGAACAACUGGCCCAAGCACCUAAUGGUAACAAGUGCUGCCUCAAACAAAACAUGCCAGUAACACUUUUUAAAAAAAUCAUCUUUAAGACUUCAUAAAGUGGUUAUACAUUGCUGUCAUUAUGUAACCAGCUGUUAAUAUUACUGGUUUCGUUUUAACUUCAUAGAACACAGUGUACUCGGUGCUCUUUAAUACUUCUAAAAUAAUAGCAAAGAUAUCAGUAUUUCAAAAUACAGAUGAGCUGUCAUUAACAGACAUGCACUUGAGAUAAAGUUAUGUAAGAUCUUAAAGUACAAUUUGUGAAUUUCUUUUUAAAAAGAUAAACUGAUAAUUUUAAAGAAGCAGAUUGUAAUACAGUCCUCUACUCUCUGUGAGGUCAAUUGUGAUUGUAAUGUCUGACAAACAAUAGAGGGGUAUGCAAAGAAUAAACAGAAGAAACUAUUCAGGUCCAUGGGAUGAUGUUUUGCAAAUCACAAUAUAAAUGGUGUAUGCCUCAGCUGACUUUUAUAAAGGAAGUGUAGCUUUAAGUUAUUGCCCCUAAACUGUUUAUAAAACCUGAGAAGUUUAAGUUUAUUGGGUAGAUUUCUCUUUUUUCCCAUAUUUUAUUCUAUAGAAGUCAAACAUCCAAUUGUGCAACAACUGCACUUGUGUAGUAACUAUGCUUGCUGGGCAGUUAUAGAGGGAGUAUAAACUGUUGGCAGUGUUGGUGACAUGCUUGUUGAUUGGUGACCCUUAACCAACUUUUUGGAACAGGCGAAGGUCCACAGAUCAGAUAGCCUCACAUUGGGUAGACACAGGUACACAGCAUUAAUCUGAACACACCAGAACUGUAUUGUAGCACUGCCACAUAUUGUUGCAUAUUAUACUUGCAUGUGUGUAUAAAUAAAUAGUGAUUGGCUCAUUUUACUUGAUUUUGUCUGAACACUCCCAAUGCCCAAGUGAUCUGUCUAGUGUUUGCAUUAUCGCAAAAAUCAGUGGGGUCACCAGGUCAUGCCACAUGACAUGCUGAUGAGGCUGCUUGUGAACAUAAAGACAGAGACAUUGUAAAAGAGCAUGUUCAGCUGUUUAUGUCAAAAUGCUUGGAGGAUUAGCGUCAUGCUUAACUGAGCUUGUUACCACUGAAGAUACCACUGAAGAUUAGAAAUCUGGAAAUAUUUUGCCCUUUUACUUUUUGGUUCAUAUACAGAUUUGUUAGUGGAAUUAUUCAACCCAACCUGUAAGUUACCAUUUACAAUAGGAAUGAUAUUCUGGUGAGGACGAUUCCUCAAUACUGUAAUUCUUGUACAUGUUUUACCAGAGUGGACUUUCCACAGCAAGAGAGACUCGAGGUGCACAGGUUUAUUGUAAAUAUUUGGUGGCACCUCUUUUGUAUAAUGUACUACAGACUGUUGAA